CUGCCGUGUGUCACAGGAGUGGCACUGCCACCCUCGCACCCUCGGUGCCCAAAUUCCCAAAUUCCCAAAUUCCCUCGCCUGGGAAGUUUUUUUGGGAUGCUCCAAAAACCCCAUCCCUGUCACUGUGUCACUGUCACCAUCCUUGUCACCCCACCCCUGUCACCGUGUCACUGGUACUGUGUCACUGGCACUGCAGCUCCUCAUCAUUGUCACCCCAUCAUUGUCACCCCAUCCUUGCAGAUCAUUGUCCUUGUCACCUCAUCCUUGUCACCCCAUCUUUGUCACUGUGUCCUUGUCACCCAUCCCUGUCACUGUGUCCUUGUCACCCCAUCCCUGCAGCUCCUUGUCCUUGUCACCUCAUCAUUGUCACCCCAUCCCUGUCACCGUGUCACUGGCACCGUCCUUGCAGCUCCUUGUCCUUGUCACCCGUCUCAGUCACUGUGUCACUGNACCUCAUCAUUGUCACCCCAUCCCUGUCACCGUGUCACUGGCACCGUCCUUGCAGCUCCUUGUCCUUGUCACCCGUCUCAGUCACUGUGUCACUGCCACUGUAGGUCCUCGUCACCCCAUCUUUGUCACCGUGUCCCUGUGUCCUUGUCACCCAUCCCUGUAGCUCCUCGUCCUUGUCACCCCAUCUUUGUCACCGUGUCACUGUCACCGUGUCACUGUCACCGUGUCACUGUCACCAUCACUGCAGGUCCUCGUCCUUGUCACCCCACCCCUGUCACCGUGUCACUGUCACCGUGUCACUGUCACCGUCACUGCAGCUCCUUGUCACCCCAUCCUUGCAGAUCCUUGUCCUUGUCACCCCAUCCCUGCAGUGCCCGGGGUCCCGGCCCUGUCACCGUGUCACUGUCACCAUGUCACUGUCACCGUGUCACUGCAGGUCCUCAUCCUUGUCAUCCCAUCUCUGUCAUUGUGUCCUUGUCACCCCACCCCUGUCACCGUGUCACUGUCACUGUGUCCCUGUCACUGUGUCCUUGUCACUCAUCCCUGCAGCUCCUCAUCACUGUCACCCCCUCCCUGCAGGUGCCCGGUGUCCCAUCCCUGUCACCGUGUCACUGUCACUGUCACUGCAGAUCCUUGUCCUUGUCACCUCAUCAUUGUCACCCCAUCUUUGUCACCGUGUCACCGUGUCACUGUCCUUGCAGCUCCUUGUCACCUCAUCCUUGUCACCCGUCUCUGUCACCAUGUCACUGGCAGCCAUCCUUGCAGAUUCUCGUCCCUGUCACCCCAUCAUUGUCACCCAUCAUUGUCACCCUGUGCCUGGCAGCCUGUCCCUGCAGGUGCCCAGUGUCCCAGCCCUGUCACCGUGUCACUGUCACCGUCACUGCAGGUCCCUGUCCUUGUCACCUCAUCCUUGUCACCCCAUCUUUGUCGCUGUGUCACUGUCACCCAUCUUUGUCACCCCACCAUUGUCACCCAUCCUUGUCACCCAUCCCUGUCACCGUGUUCCUGUUACCCAUCCUUGUCACCUGUCUCUGUCACCGUGUCACUGUCACCGUCACUGCAGAUCCUUGUCCUUGUCACCUCAUCAUUGUCACCCCAUCUUUGUCACCGUGUCCCUGUCACCCAUCCUUGCAGAUCCUUGUCCUUGUCACCCAUCCUUGUCACCCCAUCCUUGUCAUCCAUCCCUGUCACCGUGUCCCUGUCACCCAUCCUUGCAGCUCCUCGUCACCCCAUCUUUGUCACCUCAUCCUUGUCACCCCACCCCUCCAGCUCCUCGUCCCUGUCACCCCAUUCUUGUCACCCAUCCUUGUAGCCCCUCAUCCCUGUCACCUCACCAUUGUN
rnacentral:lncRNA from 1 species